CAAAACUGCCAAUAAAAAUCACAGAAGAAGAAGAAGAAGAAGAAGAAGAAGAGAGGAUACGUCAAUAUCAACAUCGCGGAGAUAAGCGACGCGGGGGUUUUCAAAUGGACAGGAGAACACGCGUGUGUUUAUCCAGUGGAGAGAGGCUCAUGAUGCUGAAUGCUGUCAUCAAAGAAUGGGAACCGCUGUGUUGAGUCGGCAGUAGGGUUUGGGGUUCAGUGCCUGUAAAUACAUGCUUGUAGUUUGAAUAAAGCUGUUUCAUGUGUUGACUUGUA